CAGCGUUGGCAAGCCUCGUCUCGCGUUCACGGAGGAGGAGGGGGCUAUAAAAGCAACAUGUUCUCACAAGCAUGGCAGAGCCCAUGCAUAAACCAUUUGGCUUUGCAAUUAAAAACAGGUUUGGCUUCCCUCUGCAUCGGUUAGACAACGUCAAAGCACCAUUCGUCCCGAAAACGUUCCCUUGUGAAUUCCAAUGAACUGCAGUACAGUAAACUUGACUACAAUGAUGUAACGAUGGCUAAUUACAUCUUUAUCACUGUCAUUCCUGGAUGGUGCACUUGACUGCUGGAUCCCAUAGUAUUUGGAGAAAUCACUACUUCACAGCUAAAACCCUUCCCCUUGCCGUACAGCGACGAGCUUAGAAGAUACGACACAGGCCAAUCCCAGUUGCAGUGAAAUCAUCUAUUUUUUACAAGAUAGUUGGCUUCCUCUGUUUUUUUCUCUCAUUCUUUUCCCCGUUUAAUUAAACAGAAAGAAACAAAAGAGAUACUGCCGUUGAGUGUUUGCUGCAAAAGACAGUUUCGAAAGUUCUGCCACAGAAGAAAUCGCAAAGUUGCGAAACCUAAGCCGUGAUUCACAAACCGGCAGAAGAGUUGCAUUCUGCCUGCGAAGAGAUCUCAGCACGAGAAGAGGCCACCAGCACCCAGGCCCAUCCACUGAUACACAAAGUUCUGUGACAAGACAGUAUGGCACAAACGUCAAUUUGUCGAUACUAAUGGUGAGGAUCAACAUUAAUUAAAAGACAGAGACAGACAAAAAAGAACAAUUGAUGUCAGUGCCACGUACUUGAUGUAAAAGUUACCAUGGAACGAUACUUGCUCUGUUUAAUUUACAAUUCUCACCAAACUCCACUUAAGAAAUUUUAGCUUCUUGAGUUAUUUAUUUAGUUUAUUAUUUUCAGUCUCUUUGGGCGAAAUGAUCUUCUCUCACACUACCCCUCCAAAAGUUGUUCAAUGGAGUAAUUGCUAAAAUGCAGAAGGACUUUUUACUGCAUCAUUUUGAAGUGCGUAAUUUGGCAUAAAGGUAAAACAUUUUUAGAAAGUAUGAAGCAAAAACAUUAUCAGAACAAAGUAAAGAAAAAUAUGCGAACACGUAUAAUAGUAUGUGUGAUUGCAUUGCAAACCUUAAAAAAAUGUUGAAUCUAUUUUGUCAUAUAUUUUAGUUAGAUGCAUGCACAUAAUUUCAUAUUUCUCACAAAAAAAAUAUGUGUUGCGUGUUUUUGGGCUGUGGACUCACAGUGAAUAGAAAAAGAAAAUACGUGUUCUUAAGUAUGAAUUUUUAUAUUUGCCUUGAGGAAGGAAAUCAAUUCCCUCAAUUAACAAGGUAUUAACCAUAAAUAAAUAUUUUCCAUUUUCAUUAAUUCCAUGUACUGGAAGUUUUUUAUUGACUUGGGCUCCCUUUUGCUGGACUGUGUGUUUUAUAACCGUAUACAUUAAAGGUAGAGCAUAAGAAGUAACGUUAAAUUCAGUCCAGCUAAGGCAGAGAGAUAAAUUCACCCUCCAAUGUCAGGAAAAUCGCAUUACUACUUUGUAAAAAAAUAUAUAUAUAUGCCUGUAAAAAUAAAGUAGCAAUACACGUGUGUGCAAAUAAAAUAAUUCCACAAAUCUUUAUGUAA